rnacentral:rRNA from 1 species
UACGGAGGGUGCAAGCGUUAAUCGGAAUUACUGGGCGUAAAGCGUGCGCAGGCGGUUUGUUAAGUCUGUUGUGAAAUCCCCGAGCUCAACUUGGGAAUUGCAAUGGAUACUGGCAGGCUGGAGUAUGGUAGAGGAAGGUGGAAUUCCCGGUGUAGCAGUAAAAUGCGUAGAGAUCGAGAGGAACACCAGUGGCGAAGGCGGCCUUCUGGACCAAUACUGACGCUCAUGCACGAAAGCUAGGGGAGCAAACAGG